rnacentral:rRNA from 1 species
UACGAAGGGGGCUAGCGUUGCUCGGAAUCACUGGGCGUAAAGCGCACGUAGGCGGAUUGUUAAGUCAGGGGUGAAAUCCUGGAGCUCAACUCCAGAACUGCCUUUGAUACUGGCGAUCUUGAGUCCGGGAGAGGUGAGUGGAACUGCGAGUGUAGAGGUGAAAUUCGUAGAUAUUCGCAAGAACACCAGUGGCGAAGGCGCUCACUGGCCCGGUACUGACGCUGAGGCACGAAGGCCAGGGAGCAAACGGG